AUUAUGGAGCAAAAAAAACACAGUCUGGUUGGUAGUCCAGACGCAUCGAGUCUUUUGUGAGGAAUUCGAUGCCAGUAACCUUCCCCCCUCGGGAUGUCCAUUGCUCCAAGGUAAGAU
rnacentral:ncRNA from 1 species